rnacentral:misc_RNA from 1 species
GAUGAAGAACGCAGUGAAAUGCGAUAAGUAAUGUGAAUUGCAGAAUUCAGUGAAUCAUCGAAUCUUUGAACGCACCUUGCGCCCCUUGGUUAUUCCAAAGGGCAUGCCUGUUUGAGUAUCAUGAACACCUCAACUCUUGUGGUUUCCCACAAUGAGCUUGGACUGUGGAGGUUUUGUUGGCCCUGUGGUCAGCUCCUCUCAAAUGGAUCAGCUUACCGGUGUUUGGUGGCAUUACGGGUGUGAUAACUAUCUUCGCUCGUGGUCGUCUCCAAAUAACCUCCAGUGAUGGAGGUUCGCUGGAGCUUAUAAAUGUCUCUCCCCAGUGAAGACAGCCUUUGAACGUUCGAUCUCAAAUCAGGUAGGACUACCCGCUGAACUUAAGCAUAUCAAUAAGCGGAGGA